rnacentral:rRNA from 1 species
UAAGGAAUAUUGGUCAAUGGACGCAAGUCUGAACCAGCCAUGCCGCGUGAAGGAUGAAGGUCCUCUGGAUUGUAAACUUCUUUUAUCUGGGACGAAAACGGGAUUUUUAUCUCAAUUGACGGUACCAGAGGAAUUAGCACCGGCUAACUCCGUGCCAGCAGCCGCGGUAAUACGGAGGGUGCGAGCGUUAUCCGGAUUUACUGGGUUUAAAGGGUGCGUAGGUGGGCUUAUAAGUCAGUGGUGAAAUCUCCGAGCUUAACUUGGAAACUGCCGUUGAUACUAUAGGUCUUGAAUUAUCUGGAGGUAAGCGGAAUAUGUCAUGUAGCGGUGAAAUGCUUAGAUAUGACAUAGAACACCUAUUGCGAAGGCAGCUUACUACAUAUAAAUUGACGCUGAGGCACGAAAGCGUGGGGAUCAAACA